rnacentral:SRP_RNA from 1 species
AGAAGUUGGUAUUGGACGUAGUUGUCGCCAAUCGGGUCAGGUCCGGAAGGAAGCAGCCCCAACGAUUUUUUUACGGGUCAAGAACUGACUUCUCAC